AUUGAACGCUGGCGGCAGGCCUAGCACAUGCAAGUCGAGCGGAUGAGGGAAGCUUGCUUCCCGAUUUAGCGGCGGACGGGUGAGUAAUGCCUAGGAAUCUGCCUAUUAGUGGGGGAUAACGUUCCGAAAGGAACGCUAAUACCGCAUACGUCCUACGGGAGAAAGUGGGGGAUCUUCGGACCUCACGCUAAUAGAUGAGCCUAGGUCGGAUUAGCUAGUUGGUGAGGUAACGGCUCACCAAGGCGACGAUCCGUAGCUGGUCUGAGAGGAUGAUCAGCCACACUGGAACUGAGACACGGUCCAGACUCCUACGGGAGGCAGCAGUGGGGAAUAUUGGACAAUGGGCGAAAGCCUGAUCCAGCCAUGCCGCGUGCGUGAAGAAGGUCUUCGGAUUGUAAAGCACUUUAAGUUGGGAGGAAGGGUUGUAAGCUAAUAUCUUGCAGCUUUGACGUUACCAACAGAAUAAGCACCGGCUAACUCUGUGCCAGCCGCCGCAGUAACAC
rnacentral:rRNA from 1 species